GAAAGUUGAAUACUAUGCUGUGUUUGCAUUUACCCUGAAUGCUGACCUCUUGAAGAAACAGAACUGAUUGGGGGAAGCUGAGGGGGUCAACUUGCAUGGGGACUCUGGAGAAGGAUGUGGGAAUGCUCAAGGACUUUUGAGGUUGGUGGCACUGUUUCUUUAUGACAUCUAAUUCCACUCUCCUUCUCGUUGAUUCAGAUGGAUCACUUGAGCAAUGCUCUUGCAUUUAUCAGUCAUGAUUAAGGUCGAUUUUUGGCUCACAAAUAGAGUGACUAGGGGGAGAAGGGCAUAAGAAAGGGAGGGAUGAAAGGAGAGAAAGGCAGAUGUGAGAGGCAGGCAGGAAACACAGAGAUUUCUUUAAAGAUGCUAAACCAUAGCUGACUCAACGAGCAAAAUGUUUUAGGGUCUUCUGCACUAGAUCCUGAAGGGGAGAGGCAAAGAGGGAGGACUACCAGAUGCUCACUCGGGAAAAGAAGGGAAGUGGUGGAGAAAAAGCGAGAGGCGGACAGGGUGGCACACCACAGGAAAAUCUUGAAUGUGAUCCUAAGAGAGCAACAGAAUUCUGUCAAGUUGAAGGGGCAAGUGAAGAGCCAAGAAUGAGGGGUGGUUCCCAAAUGCUGCCUGACCCCAGUGGUGAUGAAGGUGGUCUUUUAGGGACCCCAGAGCAGGGACACAGCACCAUGCUUCUGCGACGGAGCAAGUCCUCUGUUUCUCUUCUGGUACCGGUCCCUCCCUCAGAAAGCCCACCUCCCUCAUCUGAUUGCCUGUGUUCUUCCAACCCUGAGAUUGCUGUAUAUGUCACUCCGUUUCUUCAUCAGCUGUUCUUAUUUCAGCCAAAAACUCAGGCCUUCCAAAUGCUGGGUGCAAAGAUGAUGCUGUGAUUGGAUUCGUAAGGUCAAUAUAUGAGGAACUGGAUAUUUUAAAGGCUGGAUGACCUCUAAGACUCUGAUCAACUCUGACAUUCUAAGGUAUUAUUUUGUCUGGAAUACAUGAUACUGGACAUAUAAUAAUUUACUUAUUUGCUUAAAUUCUUUCUCCUGUAAAGAAGCUUCUUAAAAAUAGGGCUGUGUUACUCAUCUUUGUUUCUCCUGUAACCUUGCUUACAGUAUAUACUCAAUAAAAGAUUUGCCAAAUGAAUUAAUGAGUGAAGA
rnacentral:lncRNA from 1 species